rnacentral:tRNA from 1 species
GGGGAUUUAGCUCAGUGGUAGAGCGCUUGCCUAGCAAGUGCAAGGCCCUGGCUUCAGUCCCUA